rnacentral:ncRNA from 1 species
UAUUGACUGCCGCCGGGCAGUAUGUAUGACUUCGGUCCGCACCGUUAGGCCUUAGAAGGUGCGGGUUGCCGGAGUUUUAUUUU